AUCACCUGUGUUUCCCUCCUUCACUUCGUUCUACUUCUCCGAAAAUCACCAACCGCGUUUCUCCUUCACUCCUUUCUUCUUCUAUGCCAUUAUUUCUUUCAGACAGAGAAUGCUGAGUUCUGCUUUUCUUCUAUCGCUAAUGUGUGUCUUUGAGUUCUCUGCAUAUCUCUGAGUCUCUCCUCCGAAAAUCACCUCUGUGUAUCUCUGAGUUCUGCUUCUCUGCGUUUCUUAUCCGAAAAUCACCUCUACGUAUCUCGGAGUUCUGCUUCUCUGCCUUCGCUGCUGCUACAUCAAGUCAUCAAAAAUGCUGAAGAGUUGCCGUCGCCGUCCUCCAUCUGUUGCCGGCACCAUUGAUCAUCCCAGUUGUUGUCGCCGCUCCGUCUAGUUGCCGUCACUGAUUUCUUGGAUCUAGUAUUUUGGUUUUUUAAUCAACUGUGAUACCUAGAGUUUUCAGAAUCAGAACAGAAAUAAUUCUUGUUGUAGAAGAUCUACUCAGUGAAUCACUGAGCCUUUUCAUCUGGAACUGUUACGCUCAAGUCCAUUCAAAUUUUUCAAACGCAUGAAUGGUUAGAUGCCAAACCAACAGUUUAUUUUCAUUGUCAAGGGGAGAACAAGACAUCUUUACCAGAUGUGAAGGAAGCACACCACAUAUAUACCUUCAAGGGAGAAGAAUCCUGGUAGGCUUGUACCAGGUUUCUAGUUCAAUUUGAAACCCUGUGAUUAGACCAAAUGUUAUUUGACUUGCAAAAAUCUCUUGAAAACUGUACUGCAUAACAUAAGUGCAGAUUUUACGAAUGGAUGUUGUGGAUAUCUGCCAUGAUUGCAUUCUGGUGGUUCUCCAAUCCUUUGUAUGGUUAAGUGGACUACUUGAAAAAUACCCUAGGUCUAGAUGCUAUUCCUUUGAUAAUUUCACAUGACAAAGCUACUAGUUUAAAUAUAACCAGAUUUACGCAGAAUCAACUUUCUAAGGCCAACACUUUGGGAAAAGAUCAUGUGUCUUCACAGGGCAUUCCAUUCUUAUCUCAUUUUAUCAUGUCAAGUUUAUUGAUGUCCAUCUGUAGUAUCUGUAGCAAGAAAAGUAGGGAGCUGAAACAAGGCAGCCUUUGCUGGGUAGUCUUAUCCCUAAGUGAAUUAGUAGGUUGCUGUUAGCCUUCUAUUAGUUUUGCUGUUAUCAUUUGAAGUUGUAUUUUAUGAAAUAUAAACUUGUAUUGAAGCUCCCAAAUCCGAGAUCAAUGCACUGCAAACUGAUUGGAUUUUGCAAAACCAGUGAGGCAAGAAUAUCAACCUUUAAUUAAAAAGAUUUUCCUAGUAUAGUUACAGAAAAUCUUUUUCCCAUAAUCCAAAUAGCUUGUAAAAGAUAUAUGUUUCCCAGUCAAUUACUAUUCCAUAUUUUGGAGAUUCUUGUUAUGUGUCUAUGUGAGAAAUGGGAAUUUAGUUUAAACUUUAGGAGAAUCAUUACCACCUGCAAAGAGGAUCUCUGCAGGAUGAUCUCUGCCCAAGGAAGCUUUCUUUCUUUUUGCAAAUAAUGGUGUUUUGGAAGGUUUCAACUCAUUAAAAGCAAUUAACUCAUUGCCAAUGGUCAUCCUCCACUUUAGUCCAUCAGCAGGUUCUGGUGCAGGAGCAAACACUUCAUUUUUCAGGGAAAUCAAUCAUGAUUUUGAGGGUUGCUUGAUCGAGGCAUCCAGGUCCCUCCAAUGUCUGAGGUGCUUUCACAGGUAGGAAGUAGAGAUCAUCCUUGUUCCUUCCACCUUGAUUGGAGAUGGUAGUUUCAAUGGAGUUCAGAUGCCUCUUCUUCUCUGGGGUCUUAGGUUGAAUUGCUCAUUGGUGCUUGUCUGGAGAAGUAGUUGAGUUACUCUUUGAAUUUUAACUGUAUGGUAGAAGGAAACUGCCAAAUGAUAAUUAGCUAGAUGAAAAAUGGCUAUUUAUCCUUUUGGGCACUAUAUUAAGGGAUGAGGUGGGAACAUCCCAUUCAGAUUGGAAUGGGAUGCUUUGAUACAGUUCAUGGUUCGUGGGGAUGCUUUGAUACAGUUCAAAUGAAGCAAAUGGGUGUGGGUGUGUCUUAGUUAAAAUGUCUUUUAACACUAGGAUAGACCAUGGGUUGGAAAAUGAAGCAAAUGGGUGUGGGUGUGUCUUAGUUAAAAUGUCUUUAAAUACUAGGAUAGACCAUGGGUUGGACCGGUUUCAACUAGGUUUUUGUUGAAUGUUUGAUGGGUCCAUUCUGAACCAUUACUUUUAAGAGAAUUGUAACUUUUGAUAGGACAUGAACCAACCGUCCUAUUAAUUAAAUUCUUAGCAUGAAAAUUUUAUAGUAAAAAUAGAGGGCGUGAAAAUCAAACCCAAGUACACUAAACUGAGCUUGAUCUGCAAUAAAGAGAGAAUUGAUUUCCACAACUAACCAUAAUAUUUAACCAUAUAAUAGUUCCUUUUGAUGAGUGCAAACUGCAUAGUAGGAGUUUCUAUCCAAUAUAUAUAGAAUUGACAAUGAACCCAAAUGAUUCUUAUAAUUAGUAUUAAUUCCUAUUUUUCCUUCUAGUUCAUUGCUGCAUUUUUUUCUUUAUAUUGUCAUAUUCUACAAACUUUUAAUUGCAACCAUAUUACAAUUGUAAUGCAAAUAUGUUUGACCAAUCCAAUCUUGGCCUCACCAUGUGAGUUUGGUUGCAUUUAUCCAGUUUCUAAAACACUGCUCAAGCAUGUGAACAAGAGAAGAAAACCCUUAAUUAAAAAUCACUAUUUCCAUUGCCUUUAAUUUUCCAUCUUCCUUCCUCUUGUAGUGGGUUUUGGUUGAUCAAUUAGGUUUUAGUGCUUGGUUUUUCCUUAAAAUGAGCACCAUUUAAGUGAAGAAAAAUGACGUCCUUUUUAUAGUUUUAAAUUGUCGUUCUACACCAUUUGCUUUUUGUCUGGUUCAUGGGGAUGCUGAAUUAGCAGAAACUGUAUCAAAGCAUAUCAUCGACAAGGCCAGUUGUCUGAGCGAUGGAGAGUACAUGGUGCCGUCUAACAUGUUUGCAUUGAAUGGUAGAUAGAAAGAAGCAGAUAACUGGAGAAGAAUGAUGAAAGAAGCAGGGAUUAGUAAAGUUGCUGGUUGUAGUACUAUAGAGAUCAAUGGUAGAAUGUACAGAUUUCUGGCCAGAGACAGAGAAGGUGGUUAAGCCUAGCUUGACGACUUCAGGACUUCAAGAAUAUUUGAUUAGAAAAGCUGGGCUGUAUGAGUUUGCUUGAUAGUUGACGAUCAGCAAGCAAAUCUCAGCAAUCAAAAAUGUCAACCUGAGAGAAAGAAUAAAUACAUUGCAAGAGAGUAAGAAAACAAGGCUGUGGAGCAUCUCAAGCAAAGUUUAUCUGUAUUUGCAAGACUUAAGAUGUGGACUGAUGGACGAUAAUAUGUGUUAGAUUUGUAAAAAUUGACACCCAAAGCUGUCUGUGAUCAUGGACAAGGUCAAGGACAUACCAGCAGGUAAUGAAACCAUAGAUAUGGCGUUUAUUGGUAUA